rnacentral:rRNA from 1 species
GACAGUGGCAGACUGGUGAGUAACGCGUGGAUAAUCUGCCCCGAAGAUGAGGAUAGCUCGCCGAAAGGUGAGGUAAUCCUCAAUGGUGUGGGAAGUACAUAUGUACAUCCCACUAAAGCUUUAGCGCUUCGGGAUGAGUCUGCGUCCUAUCAGCUUGUUGGUAGAGUAAAGGUCUACCAAGGCUAAGACGGGUAACUGGUCUGAGAGGAUGGUCAGUCACAGUGGCACUGAAACACGGGCCACACUCCUACGGGAGGCAGCAAUUAGGAAUCUUGCACAAUGGAGGAAACUCUGAUGCAGCGACACCGCGUGAAGGAUGAAGACCCUCGGGUUGUAAACUUCUUUUAUAAUCUAACAAGUUCUGAGUGGAGUAUGAAUAAGCACCUGCUAACUGCGUGCCAGAAGCAUCGGUGAAGCGUGGGGUGCGAGCGUUAUCCGGAUUUAUUGGGCGUAAAGAGAUGCGUAGGCGUUUUGGUAAGUCUUCUGUCAAAGCCUUCGGCCUAACCGAAGAAAGGCAGAGGAUACUAUCAGAAUUGAGACAGAGAGGGGGAAGUGGAAUUCCCGGUGGAGCGGUGAAAUGCGUUGAUAUCGGGAGGAACACCAGUGGCGAAGGCAACUUCCUGGCUCUGUUCUGACGCUGAGGCUCGAAAGCGUGGGUAGCGAACGGGAUUAGAUACCCCGGUAGUCCACGCCGUAAACGAUGGGUACUAGGUGCAGGUGGUAUCGAUCCCUUCUGUGCCGAAGCAAACGCGUUAAGUACCCCGCCUGGGGAGUACGGCCGCAAGGCUAAAACUCAAAGGAAUAGACGGGGGCCCGCACAAGCGGUGGAGCAUUGUGGUUAAUACGACGCAACGCGUAGAACCUUACCAGGGCUUGACAUGCUUGGUGGUACUGGCUCCGAAAGGAGACCAUGACCCUUCGGGGAGCCAACACAGAUGUUGCACCGGCUGUCGUCAGCUCCGUGUCGUGAGAUGUUGGGUUUAGUCCCGCAACGAGCGGCAACCCUUGUCCUUAGUUGCCAGCAGGUUAAUUCUGGGGACUCUAAGGAGACUGCCUGUGAUAAGCAGGAUGGAAGGUGAGGAUGACGUCAAGUCAUUGUGGCUCUUACGUCACUGGGGCUACACACGUGUUACUAUUGGGUCGAUUACAAUGGGUAGCAAUGCCUCGAGGUGGAGCCAAUCCCCAAAAGUCGCCCUCAGUUCGGAUUGGAGUCUGCAACUCGACUCCAUGAAGUCGGAAUCGCUAGUUAAUGGCGCAUCAGCUACGGCGCCGUGAAUACGUUCCCGGGCAUUGUACUCACCGCCCGUCACAUCACCUGAGUUGAUUGCACCUGAAG